UACAGAGGUGGCAAGCGUUGUUCGGAAUUACUGGGCGUAAAGGGCGAGUAGGUGGCCAUCUAAGUCAGACGUGAAAUCCCUCGGCUUAACCGGGGAACUGCGUCUGAUACUGGAUGGCUUGAGAUUGGGAGAGGGAUGCGGAAUUCCUGGUGUAGCGGUGAAAUGCGCAGAUAUCAGGAGGAACACCGGUGGCGAAGGCGGAUCUCUGGGCCAUUACUGACGCUGAGGAGCGAAAGCGUGGGGAGCGAACAGG
rnacentral:rRNA from 1 species